GACGAACGCUGGCGGCGUGCCUAACACAUGCAAGUCGAGCGGAGAUUUCUUUGGCACUGAGUACUCUAGUAAAGACGCAAAGGAAGCGUCAUGAAGAAACAACAUAGAUGUUAAAAACACUGAUAAAAGUUUCUUCAUCACGCGUUUUUAAAGUGCCAACACAAAGAGGGAAGGAUAAGUAGAGUAUUGAGUGCCAAAGAAAUCUUAGCGGCGGACGGGUGAGUAACACGUGGGCAACCUGCCUUGAAGUGGGGGAUAACACCGGGAAAUCGGUGCUAAUACCGCAUAACAUACACAAACUGCAUGGUAAGUGUAUCAAAGGAGCAAUCCGCUUUAAGAUGGGCCCGCGGCUGAUUAGCUAGUUGGUAAGGUAACGGCUUACCAAGGCGACGAUCAGUAGCCGACCUGAGAGGGUGACCGGCCACACUGGAACUGAGACACGGUCCAGACUCCUACGGGAGGCAGCAGUGGGGAAUAUUGCACAAUGGGCGAAAG
rnacentral:rRNA from 1 species